AACGAACGCUGGCGGCAUGCCUAACACAUGCAAGUCGAACGAGACCUUCGGGUCUAGUGGCGCACGGGUGCGUAACGCGUGGGAACCUGCCCUUAGGUUCGGAAUAACUUCCCGAAAGGGGUGCUAAUACCGGAUAAUGUCUUCGGACCAAAGAUUUAUCGCCUUUGGAUGGGCCCGCGUUGGAUUAGCUAGUUGGUAGGGUAAAAGCCUACCAAGGCGACGAUCCAUAGCUGGUCUGAGAGGAUGAUCAGCCACACUGGGACUGAGACACGGCCCAGACUCCUACGGGAGGCAGCAGUGGGGAAUAUUGGACAAUGGGCGAAAGCCUGAUCCAGCAAUGCCGCGUGAGUGAUGAAGGCCUUAGGGUUGUAAAGCUCUUUUACCCGGGAUGAUAAUGACAGUACCGGGAGAAUAAGCUCCGGCUAACUCCGUG
rnacentral:rRNA from 1 species